rnacentral:rRNA from 1 species
CUACGGGUUGCAGCAGUUAGGAAUAUUCUGCAAUGCGCGCAAGCGUGACAGAUUGAACCAGAGUGUUUUUCAAAUGAAAAACUUUUGUGAAAUGUAAAAAGUUUUACGAAUAAGGACUGGGUAAGACGAGUGCCAGCCGCCGCGGUAAUACUCGCGGUCCAAGUCGCAGCCAUUUUUAUUGGGUCUAAAACAUCCGUAGCUUGCUUGAUAAGUUUCUUGUGAAAUUUUAUAUCUCAAAUAUAGAGCGUGCAAGAAGUACUGUCAAGCUAGAGACUGGAAGACGUAAGAAGUAUGUUUGGAGUAGCGGUAAAAUGUGUUAAUCCCAGACAGACUAACAACAGCGAAGGCAGCUUACGAGUACAGUUCUGACAGUAAGGGAUGAAAGCUAGGGGCGCAAAACGGAUUAGAUACCCCUGUAGUC